rnacentral:lncRNA from 1 species
AGUAUUUUCUGUAGAGAAGGCUGUUCAGAGAGAGAAAGUCAAAUGAAAGAAGAACAUCUUGAAUUUAUACAAUGACUGGGAGAAGGCUUAAUGUGUUCUUAGAAUUGUAACUCCUAUUUGGAGAGAUUGCAAAAAGGAGCACCAGGGACAGAACCCUUGGAAGGGCCACAGGGGAUGGCAAAUGGCUCUCUCAGUUAGCUGGCUGAGCAUGUGAGCAGUCCGUACGACCAAGAUCAUUGUUGUCUCCAGCAGUGGAGAGCACCAGAUCUGAAAUCCCCAGGGCAAUUUCUGUUCAUGGAUAAGCCGGAUAAGCCUGGACUUCCCAAGUGAUGUCACAGUGAGACUUGAGCUUCGAUAACCAAGAACUUCAAGACCAAACCAUCAUUUCAAGAGAUUAUCGAGAAAAUGAAUGUGAGAAGAGCUUGUUGCAGGAAUUUCAUCAGGGGCAUACAAGUCGUGGAUUUGACUGGGACAAUUUCUUGUACAUUUCCAUUGUUUUUAACAAGAGGAGGAAGCUGUGCUGUGAAGGAUCCUUUUUCAUCAUGAUUAUUGCAUCCACAGAAGCAGUGAUAAAUUCUAACAGAUAAUGCAACUCAGUCUACUUGGAUGUUCACACCUGAGACUGGAGAAGACCUGCUGCCUUCUGCAGAGCCAAACAUUCCUCACAUGCUCCUCCACAAUGCUAGUUAAUGCAGCAAGAAUAGUCUUAUAUAGACUAUAAACUCCUGGUACACUGUGUCUACAUUGCUCACUGCAGUAUCCCAACAUCUAAGACCAUGGUCUUAGAUGUCUGGUACAGGACUGGUGCUCAGUAUGCAUUGAAUGAAUAAAUGAAUGAAUAUAGCAAAGCAUUCCAUGAUGUUCUCUUGAAUUCAUUUAUUCUUUGGAAUUUGGUUAUUUUUUUUUGUUUUUUUGGUGCAGUGGUUAUGUACUACUAGGGGUAUGAUAUGGGUUCUUCAAUAAAUCUCUUCAAAUUAUAAUAAAGAUUUAGCGCUAACCUUCUGCUCACUAUCUCCCUCUAAGUACUACAGAUGGAUGUGAUUAGCAUGCAAUUUAUCAUCUUGAUGGAAUUCAUGUCUUACAGGCCUAUGGCUUUCAAAAUUGAAGUAUCUAGAUUUAUGUUAUUUUGUCAAAUAGGAAAUGGUUUUACUCUAUUGAGAUUCCUACACUUAAAAAUUUAUAUAGACCUUAAAAAAAUCCUAAAGAAGAGUUUGAAAAGUAUGGUUAGGCAUUCUUCUAGCCAUAUAGACUAUAGAGGAGAAUAAGUUUAAGGAAAUCAUCAAGUAAAGUCAAGAACAUAGUAAAAAUGGUAACAUACCACCUUCAUGUAAGAUAAAACCAGAUAAGAUUUUAAAAAGAAGCAUUUAUGCUAUGCUUAGGAAGCCAAUCCUGUUGAAAAAACUGAUAUUGCAGCCAUAUCUGUCUGUGAGUAGUUGUAACAAUGCUGUAGGUAACAUUUCUGAGAGCAUGAUACAGUGUAGGGGGAAUCGAUCUGUGGUCUUGGGGUCCUUGGGGAAAAGGGUAUAUGAAGAGUUCUUCCAAAGUGGCCUCUAAAUCCACCUGUGUAGUAAACAGUGUCUG